rnacentral:rRNA from 1 species
GAUGAACGCUGGCGGCGUGCUUAACACAUGCAAGUCGAACGAAGCACUUUGGACAGAUUCUUCGGAUGAAGUCCCUGGUGACUGAGUGGCGGACGGGUGAGUAACGCGUGGGUAACCUGCCUCAUACAGGGGGAUAACAGUUAGAAAUGGCUGCUAAUACCGCAUAAGCGCACAGUACUGCAUGGUACAGUGUGAAGAACUCCGGUGGUAUGAGAUGGACCCGCGUUGGAUUAGCUAGUUGGCAGGUAACGCUACAAGGCGACGAUCCAUAGCCGGCUGAGAGGGUGACGGCCACAUUGGGACUGAGACACGGGCCCAAAUCCUACGGGAGCAGCAGUAGGGAAUUUUUCGC